GAUGAACGCUGGCGGCGUGCCUAAUACAUGCAAGUCGAGCGAACAGACGAGGAGCUUGCUCCUCUGACGUUAGCGGCGGACGGGUGAGUAACACGUGGAUAACCUACCUAUAAGACUGGGAUAACUUCGGGAAACCGGAGCUAAUACCGGAUAACAUGUUGAACCGCAUGGUUCAACAGUGAAAGACGGUCUUGCUGUCACUUAUAGAUGGAUCCGCGCCGCAUUAGCUAGUUGGUAAGGUAACGGCUUACCAAGGCAACGAUGCGUAGCCGACCUGAGAGGGUGAUCGGCCACACUGGAACUGAGACGCGGUCCAGACUCCUACGGGAGGCAGCAGUAGGGAAUCUUCCGCAAUGGGCGAAAGCCUGACGGAGCAACGCCGCGUGAGCGAAGAAGGUCUUCGGAUCGUAAAACUCUGUUAUUAGGGAAGAACAAAUGUGUAAGUAACUAUGCACGUCUUGAUGGUACCUAAUCAGAAAGCCACGGCUAACUACGUG
rnacentral:rRNA from 1 species